GAUGCCAGUACAUAUGUCAACAAUUAAUUCAAAUCCAACGCUUUCUGAUUACGAGGAAACCUGAACCUUGUGGAGGAUAAUAAAUUGAAGGACUGGGCGUGGCGGAAGUGGGCGGAGCAUAUGCCUUUGAAGGACAUCGCCAAGAACCGACCAACCAAAUUUUGUGGUUGUAGCCUUAGAAUUGUGGCAGAUAUUUGGUCUUACCGAUUUGCGAUUUUAUCGAUUUCCUAGCAUCCUAGUGGAUGUAGCACUCCAAUUUGUACAAUCGGCUACUACUCACAUGUGAUGGAAGAGCUUGAAGAGAUGGCCGCGUAUAUAGGAAG
rnacentral:sRNA from 1 species